ACUUAAUAGUAUCCAACGAGUCAUACUUUUCUCAGAAAGUACUGAACAGGGAAGUCAGUUAAUCUGACGCGGUCCCGCCACUGUGAUAGUGAGCAGUCUUACACGAUGUCACUGGAUUACCAGGAAGGUGUAAGGUGGCGAUGAACUUAAGCCAGGAGACCUUGCUCGUUAGGGAUUAAACAG
rnacentral:ncRNA from 2 species